rnacentral:rRNA from 1 species
GACGAACGCUGGCGGCGUGCUUAACACAUGCAAGUCGAACGGAAAGGCCCUGCUUUUGUGGGGUGCUCGAGUGGCGAACGGGUGUGUAACACGUGAGUAACCUGCCCUUGACUUUGGUAUAACUUCAGGAAACUGGGGCUAAUCCCGGAUAGGAGCUCCUGCUGCAUGGUGGUGGUUGGAAAGUUUCGGCGGUUGGGGAUGGACUCGCGGAUUAUCAGCUUGUUGGUGGGGUAGUGGCUUACCAAGGCUUUGACGGGUAGCCGGCCUGAGAGGGUGACCGGCCACAUUGGGACAGAGAGACGGCACAGACUAAGACGGGAGGCAGAAGUGGGGAAUAUUGCAAAAUGGGCGGAAGCCGGAUGCAGCAACGCCGCGUGCGGGAUGACGGCCUUAGGGUUGUAAACCGCUUUCGCCGGUGAAGAAGCGUGAGUGACGGUAAUGGGUAAAGAAGCACCGGCUAACUACGUG